AGUCAUAACAAGGUUUCUGUAGGUGAACCUGCAGAAGGAUCAUUAGUGAAUUUGCAAUAGGGCUUCGAAGUUCGCUUCGGCCCGACCCCUCUUCACCACUCAUCCUAAACACCUGUGCAUGCGGUCGAAACUUUCCACUGUCGCCUAGCGACUCUGGAUAUAACCGAACUUUUUUACUUUAAACACAUGUCAUAUGGAAGUAAACUUUACUACGAUCUUAACUGAUCUAAACAUAAAAUAAAACUUUCGACAACGGAUCUCUUGGUUCUCC
rnacentral:misc_RNA from 1 species